rnacentral:rRNA from 1 species
AAACUCACCAGGUCAGGACACGGUAAGGAUUGACGGACUGAAGGCUCUUUCUCGAUUCCGUGGAAAGUGGUGCAUGGCCGUUUUGGUUGGUGGAUCGAUCCGUCUGGUUAAUUCCGUUAACGAACGAGACCUCGGCACUCCGAAUAGCGCGGCGGACGUCGCGGCCUCCGGGCCGUCUUCCGCACGAGCUUCUUAGAGGGACCGUCCCCCGCCGGGGAAGGAGGUGCGAGGCAACGACAGGUCUGUGAUGCCCUUAGAUGUUCUGGGCCGCACGCGCAUUACACUGACGCGUCCAACGGGUGACUCCCGACCCGAAGGGGCCGGGGAAUCCGCAAGGCGCGUCGUGAUGGGGAUUGAACGUUGCAAUUGUUGUUCACGAACGAGGAAUUCCUAGUAGGCGCGGGUCAUCAACCCGCGCCGAUUACGUCCCUGCCCUUUGUACACACCACCC